AAAAUAGUGAGUCAACGCAAUCUCUAUGCGUCGCAUAGUCUAUCACAUUGACAGAUAAUUUUCCCCUCAGCUCAGUUUGAAUUCCAGUGAACCAACGUGGACUCUACACAGCACGUUGGCCAUCACGUUGAUGCCAACAACGCGAUGCGUCGGUCUGCGCAUCGAUAAUUUGUUUUUUAGCCAUUAAAAGUCAUGUCCUUAAGGAUAAUUG
rnacentral:lncRNA from 1 species